CCCAGCAUGGUGUAGUGGUUUGAGCAUUGGACUAGGAUUCUGGAGACCAGGGUUCAAAUCCCUGCUUGGC
rnacentral:tRNA from 1 species